UACAGAGGGUGCAAGCGUUGUUCGGAAUUACUGGGCGUAAAGAGUGUGUAGGCGGUGCUCUAAGUUCGGUGUGAAAUCUCCCGGCUUAACUGGGAGGGUGCGCCGGAAACUGGAGUGCUCGAACGUGGGAGAGGAAAGCGGAAUUCCUGGUGUAGCGGUGAAAUGCGUAGAUAUCAGGAGGAACACCUGCGGUGUAGACGGCUUUCUGGACCAUUGUUGACGCUGAGACACGAAAGCGUGGGUCGCAAACAGG
rnacentral:rRNA from 1 species